GCUUACCUUAUUUUGUUUUUUUUCACUCGUUUUCGUGAGCCAACUUUUGUUGGUUAAAGUCACUUUCUGUGCCCCUCUGAGCAAGGAUAAAAGCACCCUCUUCCUCCCAUUUCUCCCUCUCAUCUUCAAAUCAUAGCUUCAAUUCUAAUACUGUUAAUAAAACCAGCCAUGGUCACUAGAAUUAAGACCUCUCACUUAAUCUUCCUUCUCUUUCUGUGCCUAUCUUCAGGCAUGAUCGAAGGAGUGAGCAAUGGCAUGAACCCCGCUAGUAUGCUCCACGAGGGCCGUGACAAAAUGAGUUCAAGGAAGCUUCUAAGUCAUGAUGUCGUGCUAGACUACGAAGAUCCAGGAGCAAAUCCUAAACAUGAUCCAAGGGGGAAGAAAGGAGGAGGCGGCAGGAACAAAUGAUUGCAAAUAACUCCUAGUUUCGAGCAUCAGGCUGUCAAAGCAAAUACUCCAGAGGAAUUUGUACUGCAACAUCACAGGAUAGUAAGCGGCAUAUUCUAAUUUCCCUACAGUAUCACAGCAUCCUUUCGUUUGAGGGUCUGAGGUGUUAAAUUAUACUAUGAUUGUAAAAUCCUUCUAUAAGGGUACAAUAAGACCAUAAAGGUUCUUUCACGUCUUAGGUACUUUCAACACUCUCAUCCGAUUUUCCUCACACAUCAAGGCUAAUAGUUUUGUUGUCUCUCUAUUUAAGAUCUUUUAUAUAAUAAAAUUUAUUCACUAA